rnacentral:rRNA from 1 species
AACGAACGCUGGCGGCGGGGUUUAGGCAUGCAAGUCGCGGGAGAAAGCUCUUCGGAGUGAGUACACCGGCAGAAGGGUGAGUACAAGCUAGUUAACGUACCCAUUGGACCGGGAUAAUUCUUGGAAACGAGUUGUAAUACCGGAUGAGACCACGUGUUCUUCGGAACGAGUGGUCAAAGGCAGGGGGCCUUUCGAGGCCUUGUGCCGAUGGAGCGGACUAGCUCCGAUUAGCUUGAUGGUAGGGGUAAUGGCCUACCAUGGCAUUGAUCGGUAGCCGGCCUGAGAGGGUGUUCGGCCACACUGGGACUGAGACACUGCCCAG